GGUUAAGCGACUAAGCGUACACGGUGGAUGCCCUGGCAGUCAGAGGCGAUGAAGGACGUGCUAAUCUGCGAAAAGCGUCGGUAAGGUGAUAUGAACCGUUAUAACCGGCGAUGUCCGAAUGGGGAAACCCAGUGUGAUUCGUCACACUAUCGUUAACUGAAUACAUAGGUUAACGAGGCGAACCGGGGGAACUGAAACAUCUAAGUACCCCGAGGAAAAGAAAUCAACCGAGAUUCCCCCAGUAGCGGCGAGCGAACGGGGAGCAGCCCAGAGUCUGAAUCAGCUUGUGUGUUAGUGGAACGGUCUGGAAAGUCCGACGGUACAGGGUGAUAGUCCCGUACACCAAAAUGCACAAGCUGUGAACUCGAAGAGUAGGGCGGGACACGUGGUAUCCUGUCUGAAUAUGGGGGGACCAUCCUCCAAGGCUAAAUACUCCUGACUGACCGAUAGUGAACCAGUACCGUGAGGGAAAGGCGAAAAGAACCCCGGCGAGGGGAGUGAAAAAGAACCUGAAACCGUGUACGUACAAGCAGUGGGAGCACCUUCGGGUGUGACUGCGUACCUUUUGUAUAAUGGGUCAGCGACUUAUAUUCUGUAGCAAGGUUAACCGUAUAGGGGAGCCGCAGGGAAACCGAGUCUUAACUGGGCGUUAAGUUGCAGGGUAUAGACCCGAAACCCGGUGAUCUAGCCAUGGGCAGGUUGAAGGUUGGGUAACACUAACUGGAGGACCGAACCGACUAAUGUUGAAAAAUUAGCGGAUGACUUGUGGCUGGGGGUGAAAGGCCAAUCAAACCGGGAGAUAGCUGGUUCUCCCCGAAAGCUAUUUAGGUAGCGCCUCGUGAA
rnacentral:rRNA from 1 species